AGGGGGGUGGGGAGAUCAGCUCAUAGCGUAUAUUAAGUUGUUGUGGUUAAAAAGCUCGUAGUUGAACCUUGGGCCUGGCUGGCCGGUCCGCCUCACCGCGUGCACUGGUCCGGCCGGGCCUUUCCCUCUGUGGAACCCCAUGCCCUUCACUGGGCGUGGCGGGGAAACAGGACUUUUACUUUGAAAAAAUUAGAGUGUUUAAAGCAGGC
rnacentral:rRNA from 1 species